rnacentral:snRNA from 1 species
AUACUUACCUGGAAGGGGAGACAUCAUGAUCACAAAGUCGGUUUUCCAAGGGCCAGCCUUGGCCAUUGCACUUCGGAUGUGCUAUUUCCCUGAAUGUGAGAAACUGAACUACAUAAUUUGUGGUAGUGGUGAACUACAUUCUGAUUUUCCCCU